CUUGGCGGUGCUCUAUACCCACCUAGAGGAGCCUGUUCUAUAAUCGACACCCCCCGAUAAACCUCACCAUUUCUUGCCACUACAGCCUAUAUACCACCGCCCUAGUUUACCUUUUAAAAGAACAAUAGUGAACAAAACAAUUAAAAAUAAAAAAGUCAGGUCAAGGUGUAGCAAAUGAAAUGGAAAGAAAUGGGCUACAUUUUUUAUAAUAAAAAACACGGAAUAUUAUAUGAAAUAAAGUAUAAAGGAGGAUUUAGAAGUAAAAAGAAAAAAGAGUGUUCUUUUUAAAUUGGCAAUAGAGCACGCACACACCGCCCGUCACCCUCUUCAAAAAUAAAGUAAUUUAAAUAAAUAUAUAUAUAUUUAUAAGAAAAGGUAAAGUCGUAACAUGGNAAGUCUACCGGAAGGUGGCCUUGGAUAUCAAAAUAUAGCCUAAAAUAAAGCAUUUUUGUUUACACCAAAAAAAUAUUUGUUAAAUCAAAUUAUUUUGAAUUUUUAAAUCUAGCCUAAAUAUAAAACAAUUAUUCC
rnacentral:rRNA from 1 species